rnacentral:rRNA from 1 species
UACGGGGGGGGCAAGCGUUGUUCGGAAUUACUGGGCGUAAAGGGCUCGUAGGUGGCCAACUAAGUCAGACGUGAAAUCCCCAGGCUUAACCUGGGAACUGCGUCUGAUACUGGAUGGCUUGAAUUCGGGUGAGGGAUGCAGAAUUCCAGGUGUAGCGGUGAAAUGCGUAGAUAUCUGGAGGAAUACCGGUGGCGAAGGCGGCAUCCUGGACCGAGAUUGACACUGAUGAGCGAAAGCCAGGGGAGCAAACGGG